UACAGAGGCCACGAGCGUUAGGCGGAAUCACUGGGCUUAAAGCGUGUGUAGGUGGAUGGGUAAGUACCUUGUGAAAUCCCACGGCUCAACCGUGGAACUGCUUGGUAUACUGCCUGUCUUGAGGCACUCAGGGGCGAGCGGAACAAAUGGUGGAGCGGUGAAAUGCGUAGAUAUCAUUUGGAACGCCAAUGGUGAAGACAGCUCGCUGGGGGGUGUACUGACACUGAGACACGAAAAGC
rnacentral:rRNA from 1 species